rnacentral:rRNA from 1 species
ACAGCAGUCGCCGCGGGAAUACGUAGGGGGCUAGCGUUGUUCGGAAUUACUGGGCGUAAAGCGUGCGUAGGUGGUGGUUUAAGUCCGUUGUGAAAGCCCUGGGCUCAACCUGGGAAUUGCAGUGGAUACUGGAUCACUAGAGUGUGGUAGAGGAUAGUGGAAUUUCCGGUGUAGCAGUGAAAUGCGUAGAGAUCGGAAGGAACAUCUGUGGCGAAGGCGACUAUCUGGGCCAACACUGACACUGAGGCACGAAAGCGUGGGGAGCAAACAGGAUUAGAUACCCCCGUAGUCCCUGUCUCUUAUAC